rnacentral:rRNA from 1 species
CAAUAGCGUAUAUUUAAGUUGUUGCAGUUAAAAAGCUCGUAGUUGGAUUUCGGUUAAGAGCGACCGGUCCGCCGUUUGGUGUGCACUGGUUGGUUUUAACUUCCUGUAGAGGACGUGCUCUGGGUUUAACGACCUGGACUCGGAGUCUACGUGGUUACUUUGAAAAAAUUAGAGUGUUCAAAGCGGGCUUACGCUUGAAUAUUUCAGCAUGGAAUAACACUAUAGGACUCCUGUCCUAUUUCGUUGGUCUCGGGACGGGAGUAAUGAUUAAGAGGAACAGUUGGGGGCAUUCGUAUUUCAUUGUCAGAGGUGAAAUUCUUGGAUUUAUGAAAGACGAACUGCUGCGAAAGCAUUUGCCAAGGAUGUUUUCAUUAA